CGUUAUUCAAAAGUGGUCUAAUCCGGUUUGGCAACAAACAAACACGAAACCACACAAAAUUAAAGCAUCUUUAUUUUGUGUUAAUAAAAGCUACCCCCCUACUCAGACCCCAUCAUUAACAAUUAAAAAAACCCCCAACCAAACAAACAGAAAAAACCCCCCAACAACAAUAGGCUAGACCAAACCAAAAUUUCCAAUUUACUGUAAUUAGCAACUCCUGUGGUGCUGUGACAUAGAGAUGCCUUUAGAUUCUUCGAAGAGCCUUCACACCGCAACCACUGAAACAUCAAGAAUCCGAGAUGCUGAUUCAUUUAAAGCUGGAGGACAAACAGCUGACGAGGCGUCUGCAACAUCCCUGAAAAGGAGUACAGGAAAUAGUGGGGACUGAGCAAUCCGGGACUGAACUUCAUCCUCCAAGAUGACAACGCUCUCCUCCACAGAGUGGGCUUUAUCAGAGGCUACCUCGAGAAUUUGUGAGUCAAGAGGAUGGAAAGGCCUCUCUACAGUCAUGACCUCAACCUCACUGAACAAUUGUGGGAUCAGCUUGGGCGUGCUGUUCAUGCCAGACUGACCAACAUGACCACAUUGGCUGACUUGCACCAAAUGCUGGUUGAAGAAUGGGAUGCCUUCCCACACCAAUGUGUAACCAAGCUGGUGACCAGCAUGAGAAGGAGGUGCCAGGCUGUGUAUUGUUCUUUCACUACUGAGGCCCCAGUGAAUAAAUCGGUUUCUUCAGACUUAAACCAUUAAUAUCAAUAAAUGACACUUAAAAAAAGAGUCAAUUGCAGAAUAAGCUGUUUGACACUGGGAGAGAAGAUUUGGCAAGUUUUUCAUGGGUGCAAUGGGGAAAUAAGCAGGCUUUUUCAACAGUACAAGAUUUAUUGUUACAACAAGGAAUGAUCAACCAAA